GCCUAAGAGAAAGUUUGAAACCAGUGUGCUUGACUAACCCAAGCUGAUUGACAUUGAACAGUUUGUUAGACUGGAGGUUAAACUAUUCAAGUUCAGACGUCCAGUAUCUCUACAUAUUCAAACAAAACUUCCCCAGAAACUGAAAUGGUUGCUGUGUUUCUGCUCGUGUGCAUCUCACUGAAGCUGUUCCUUCAGACUCAAGGUCAAAACAUCCAAAAAGCAAAGAUUUAUAGUAUAUCCAGAGAGAUUACAGAAGGCGAUAACCUUGAGGUUACUUGCAGCACGUUUGGUUAUACAACAAAAAGUGUUUAUUUAUAUCUGUGUCAAAACGGGAAAGCUAUAGAUAUGAAAAAACAAUGCAAUCACGAAGACACAGUCUUUAGAAUACAGCAUAUAGAAAAGAACAAGACAGGAAAUUAUAGCUGUGUGUUCUCAGAAGAUUGUUUAAAAACAACUGAAGUGAUGGAAUAUGGCGAUAACCACAUCUUCAUAAAU